rnacentral:lncRNA from 1 species
AAAGACUGGCAACAACAAUAUUGUUUGGGCGAACUGUACCAACUCGAAAAUGAAGCAUUCUGGGUAUUCGAAAUCGUUAUACACGACUAACGGACGGCAACCAACCCCACAAACAAUGAAUCAAUUUUUUAAGGGCUUGCGAGGCGCACAGGAAAGCCACCAUUGCUCUGCCCAUCGUUGAAACAAGGGCGCCUGACUGUCAAAUGUUCUUUAGCAAGGUGUGAACAAUGUGCCUAAACAUGUAUAUAUUGCUCAAAAUAGCAGUGAGAGCUUUGACCACGGGGUUCGAAGCCGUGAGGGGAAAAUGUUCCUUUUCUUCGUUGAGUCGCACCACUACAGCUACUCGCGGAUGCCGCAAUGGCCAUCACAGAAGCCGUCGGGUUAGAGCUCGCAAGCGUCGUCCAAAUCUGGCGAUGGAUGCGUUACCCACCGUGGCAGUCACGGGCAUUUCAUUGAUUCUUCGAAGAUUGGAAAACAGGAUAAAGGCGAUUGUGCUGCUGCUCAUGUUUCUUUCUCGGUGCAGUGCUGACCUGGUAAAAUAUUAAAGCGACAACAUAUUGACAUGUGUACAUUGGUUACUUCUCUAAUGCGAAGCUUCCUUUGCCUCUUUCUUCGA